AGCAGGAUGGCCAGCAGCAAGGUUGGCUCCCCUUUUCUUUACAGCUCUGCGGUUUGUUUGCUGGUCCCAGUUGAUGCAAUAAGGGGCCAGGUUGUCCCCUCGCUGCCCAGCGGGGUGGUGGAGGCCUGAUCCUGCCCUGGGAUUUACACCAUGGUGCUUGGGGAGGGUGGAAACUCCCUUCCACCCCCAGUUCCCAGAAAGAAAGCGGGAAGUAAGCCAUCCCCCAGCCUGGAAACGGAGGGCCUUAUGUGAGAUGUUCCCAUCGGAGCAUCUCUGGAACACAAAGCAACCCUGCCGUGCCCUCUGGGUUUGCAGCCCUGCAUCCCGGGAGCUGGGCUGGAGCCAGGAGCAGCGAGCGAGCCCGCCCCAAGGUUGUAGCCGGUGCGUUGCAGCCUCCCCAGUUGCUCGGAGGGCAAGCGCCCUUCAUCGAUUUUGCAGGAAGGCAGAGGCAAAACUCGCUCAUUUGGAAAGGCCCUCGAAGUGUUACUGAUGGAGGCGAUGAGAGCCUGCGGCUGGUGGAUGUGAUGGAGGAAGCAGGGUAAUGGCACUGUUUGUUCUCAUCUCUCCCCUGCUCCCCCUGAGGAUGUUGUGCCAUCCCAAAAGGCUCACCCUUCCCUGCCUGGCGGGCAGCAGGGCAUUACCUCCAGGCUGGCUGCAGGGAAACCUGCCAGCCUCCAGGGAGGGUUUGGAGGGCUGGGGUCCCUGCUCCGUGCCAUGCCCUCGCUGAGCAUCGCGAUUGGAAAUCAGCCCCCACGAUGGAAAUGAAGACUUUAAAAGGAGCAGAGAGAGCUUCAGCCGUCUAAUGGGAGUGAGUGUAUUUGCUUAUAAAACCUGUCAACACAUAUGGAAGCAAUAAAAGUGCCAUGAGCAGUGCGGUUUGGAGCCCCGCUGCACAUGCACUUUGCAGCAGGGAGCAGCGCUGGCCGGGCUGCGGGUCGGACCCGCCAUCCCUUUGCCAUCAGGCUGAGCCUGGUUUGGGGGAAGAAACUCAACGGGAGCGUGGAGGAGCUCCCCCUCCCUGCAUCCCCACGCAUCUGGAUGCCUUGUCAGCCACUUGGCCGCCUCUCUUCUUCGCACAAUGCGGCGUUAUGAACUCACGGGUGCAUCAUCCGGCAUCAUCCGGCCCGGCCUGAGACAAUGGAGCGCCAAUUAUAGGCAGCUGAAUGACAAAGUGCUCCAAUUACCCUGCGCUGGAAAGCAUGCGCUCUCCUGGCUGGCGCUGCUUCGCCAGCCCGACCUGGCACCGGGCCCCGGCUGCACGGGCGAGAGAGGGUUUGGCAUGGGGGGCACUUCCAGCGCCCCCAAACACCAGCUGGGGAAUGAAUGGGUUGGGGGGGGGGGGGUGAGAAAUG